GACGAACGCUGGCGGCGUGCUUAACCCAUGCAAGUCGAACGAAGUGGCGAACGGGUGAGUAACGCGUAAUCAACCUGCCCUUCCGAGGGGGACAACAGUUGGAAACGACUGCUAAUACCGCAUACUGAAGGAGGGGAUUGCGUCUGAUUAGCUAGUGGGUGUGGUAACGGCCCACCCAGGCGAUGAUAAUUAGCCGGCUUGAUAGGAUGGACGGCCUCAUGGGGACUGAGACACCGCCCAGACUCCUACGGGAGGCAGCAGUGGGGAAUCUUCCGAAAUGGACGAAAGUCUGACGGAGCAACGCCGCGUGAGUGAUGACGGCCUUCGGGUUGUAAAGCUCUGUUAAUCGGGACGCGGUACCGGAAUAGAAAGCCACGGCUAACUACGUGCCAGCAGCCGCGGUAAUAC
rnacentral:rRNA from 1 species